AUGAUUUUAAAAGCCUUGAGUGAGAACGGCAAGUCCCCUCUCUCCACACCCUGGGAAGGAAUGUUCCUGAGUGGUGAGCAGAGGCGUCCAUGGAGCUCAGCCCCAGAACUGGUCCUUUAUGGAGACGCCCCGAUAUUCCCAGGGGCCCUCAACCGUGGCCGCCCAGGAGAACCAGGCAAGGAUGGGUAUCAACCUGACACGAAUCUCAACCCUCCAGCUGCGGUCGGUCAGCGGGUGGCCGUUACCCUGGACUCAGCAUCAGAUUAGCAGGAGCAGUCAGCUGAAGGGGACGACUUCCCUGAGGGUGGAGGCCACUUCGGUCCUGGUUCCUUGCCUCCCCAGUGCCAGGAAUAUACCAGGAGGCCUUUCGGUAAGUGUAGAAGAAGUGAAUGGUUAAUGGAUUUGAGUCAAGCUUCAUAAUCAAAGCACUUUCACCAUCUUGUGUGAUCCUCACAACAAACCCUUGAAGCACAUAGUCAGGUCCAUUUUAUACCAGAGUAAACGGAGGAGGAAGUUGAGCAACUCAGGGAAGCUCACCCUGAGGCCUGAGCCCUUAGCAGUGAAACUCACUAACAAAGACACCAAGCGUCGGCCUCCAGCACAUUUAACUCUGAAACGCAGGCAACUGACUUCGAUCUGUGUGCCAUGGACCCCACUUCGUGAUGUGGAUGUCUGCCCCUACCGCUGUCCCUCAAAGGACCAAGUCGUGAAGGGUCUGUCUAACCUAGAGCAUCCUAGCUUUUUUACAAAGGUGGUGUGGAGAGCAUUGGGCUGGGAUUUAGGAAAUCUGGGUUCCAAAUCUAGUUCUAACUCAUGAAGCAAAUCCUUUGGAAUGAGUGAGCCUUCAUAUCCUUGCUUGUGAAAUCAGGGAGCUGAAUCAAGUAGAUUCUCAAAGCUGGGAAUUCCAGAUCUCUCAGGAUUUGGUUACAGAGAGUCUUUUUGUAAAAUCGUCCUUCAAUUUUCUGUUUUUCAAUCUCCUUUUUAUUAUUUUUGCAAACACACACAUAACAUUCUGUGUAGCAUAUAUGUUAAUUUGUGAGACAUAAAAAUAUAAUAAGCACCUGUGAUUUCACCAUUAGAACAUUAUCAGUGUCUGCAUCCCCUUCCCUUGUCCCAUACACGGUCCUCCUCUCCAAAGCUACCAUCUCAUUUCUGUGGUUACCAACUCAUAAAUGCCUCUGGAAGCCAUCUAGCCCCACAUGCCUCUCUCUGCAAACAGAAACUAGCUCACAGAAGCUCAGUGACUCAGGUCAGCCUUUAAACAGCCAUUAAUUAUGGAAAUUAAUGUUGCAGCGUGAGCUCUAGAAGCCAAGGCAUAUGAUAUUCAGGCACCAUUAGGUUCAGAACUAUGCAGAUGAAGGUCAGGAAAUGGAAGGCGUGUCCAUUCCUUGUCACUGCAGGGCGAUCAAAUGCCAGUGCUACAGCAAGAGCCUCUUCUUACGCCAUGAUUGCAGAGAGGAGGAGGUGUCUGUGGGAAAGGUACGAAGCACACCGAAAUGCAUCAGGGCUAACCCAGAAGGGCCGAGACGGGGGAUAUUAUUGUGUUCCCUCUGUUCCAAAAUGUUUAUUUUCAUUUGAAUUAUUUACCAAAUAGGUGAUAUAUGUACACAGAAGAAAAUCCAAAAAGUAUGAAAGUAUAAUGUCUCCCUCCCUCCUUGGGCCCCAGCCAACAGAUCGUCCUUACCUAUGGCAACCACUGGAAUCUUUCCAUUGAUACACUAAAUUUAUAUGAGUAAAUACAAUUCAUUUACCUUUUAAUGUAAUGGCAGUAUACUUCAAACAGUGUUCACCUUGCUUUUGUAAAUGCAAUAUUGGUUCACUCAUUUAACCUUCACUCCAUGCCUGCUUAUGUGCAGGCACUGUUUGGCUGAUGCAAUAAGUCGGGUGGACUAUACACAAGAACCCCUGCUCUCAUUGCGCUCAGUGGAGGGAGACAGACAAUCAACAUAAACAGCAAGUUAUAUAAUGUGUUAGAAAAUGCUAAGUGCCUGGGAGAAAUAGAGCAGAAUAAGGGGUUGGAAGGAUGCGGCAGUUGUAAAUAGGAUGCCUCAUCUAGAGGUGACAUCUGAGCAAUGUGGCUAUCUGGGGACAGAGCCUUCCAGGCCUAGGAGACAGCUGAUGCAAGCACCCCCGUGCCUGGCGUGUGGAGGAACAGCAAGGAGGCCAG